rnacentral:misc_RNA from 1 species
UCAAACUUGGUCAUUUAGAGGAAGUAAAAGUCGUAACAAGGUUUCCGUAGGUGAACCUGCGGAAGGAUCAUUAUUGAACAUAACUAUGGUGGAUUGUUGCUGGCUCUCUGAAGCAUGUGCACAUCUGCUGUCUUUAUCUAUCCCAUUGUGCACCAUUUGUAGUCCUGGAGGAAAUAUACCUAAGCUCACAAGUGUGACUUUUGGAAUUUUGCCUUCUCAGGUCUAUGUCUUUUUUCACAAACACUGUAUUUAGUCGUGGAAUGUAAUCAAUAGGCUUUUGUGCCUAUAAAACUCUAUACAACUUUCAGCAACGGAUCUCUUGGCUCUCGCAUCGAUGAAGAACGCAGC